GUUUGAUUCGUCCCUUUUUCUCUAUAUCUUCUCUUCCUUUUAUAUUCCUUUGAUGAUUUUUUUCGUGACAAAUCGCUUGGAAACUGUUUGAUUGCUGUAUAACUACCAACUUUCUUUAUAAUGGCUAACUUGUCGUGGAACUGCCGUCUCUAACUGUUACCAUUACUCUUUGUCGUUCAACCACCUUCAACUGGGCUCCUUGAAUCGUGAAAUAUGAUAAGAUCACUUAAUAACUGCUUCAAUAACUGCUAUUUUGGAUAACCAUAAUGUUUUAUGCUUGCUAAGAUCCUGGGCGAUUCGAAGGUUUGGGCGAGAACGGGGUCAUCGCUCUAGGCGACCGUAAGCUACUCCAUUCGCUCAGAUUCUGGGCAUCUCGCAAGCUUGGGCGAUGAUGUUACCAUGUUCGUGGGCUUCCACCGCAUUCAUUAAUAAUCCUGUUUGGACCUUUAUCCUGGAUUCCCCAAUUGAGCUUCACUCUUUGGGCUAUUUAAUUUGGGCUGCACUUUUAGUGUGUCAACAACACUCUUUAUAAACACUUCAAUAAAACAAAUGUCUUUUUUUAGCUAUUCCAAUAGGAUUCUCUCGCUCAAAUCAUCAAUUAAGUUUGAUCAAAAUUGGCCACAUCAUUUUUGAAUGUCAACAAAUUCAUAUCAUAAAAUCUUUUAAGAAUGAGAAGCCAAUUCAUUAUAAAUUGGAGAGGAGAACAAAUCUAGCAAGGUAUCCGAACCAAGUAACAUCAAGAACUUAAGAAUCAAAUCUUGGGAUUGAAAAUCAAGAUCAACAAAUCGAUUUCACAUCUCCUUUUUGAAUUUAUAAAUUUGGUGAUGAUUUUUCAUUUUUGUUGUUUUAUCUUUAAAAACAUGAUAGACUAGAUUCUUUUGUGUUGAGAUGAAGAUGAACGUUGUUAUUAUUUAUUUUUAAUUCAAAGACCAAGUAGUUUUGUAAAUUAGUGUUCUUAAUUGAUCUUAUAUGCUUUGUUGAAUUAUUUAAUUGUUUGAUCACCAAUUAUGUUAUUAGUUUCUUGUUAUAGUGUUUGGAGGUUAAUAGUAGGUUUAGAACUUUACAAUUCAACAUAUGGACAAUAAAUUUCAGGAAUAAUAUGUAUGACAUAUAUAAUCAUAUAAAUAAUCGUGUAAUUGAAGGCAUUGCUUUGCAUAUGAAUUCAGACUAUGAAUAGAAUUGGAGCGUACUCAGGAUACAUUUAACUUACACUAGGAGAGAUAGUUAAAUAAAAUUGGAUUAUUGAUUGUCAUAAAUACACAAAUCAAACUAAAUUACAUAGGUCGAGAACUGAAAAUACAAUAAUAAUAGGUGGAUUCAAAAUUUCAACACGUUAUUCCUUUAUUUAAUUUAAAAUCAUAUUAGAUAAUUAGUAGAUAAAUUAAAUAUAAUAAACAUAAAUCUCUUUUGUUAGUUACAUUCAAAUUUGAUAUUGAGAUGAUACAAUUUGAUUUAAAGCUUAUUCCCUAUGGGACGAUACUGUUUUCUUACAACAGUUAUUACUUGUCAAUAAUUCUAUGCGCUUGUGAAAUUUAUUUGAGCAAGUUUUUAACCUUAAAAUAGAUUCGUCCCCUCAAUUAGUACUUGAGGUUAACUGUGUGUUUCAGUGUCUCAUGAUACAAUAGCAAAAUCAGUAAAACCUGAGCGCUAUACUUCUACCCACGAACUGAAUUUUAUCUCCACACUAUCACCAAGACUUGAACAGAAAUUGGAAAUUCUGGACAAAUAGAGAACACAAUAUUUUGGACCAAAGAAAGGAGAAUUUUUCCUUCACGUCUAGAACUCCGGAAAAUGGACCUCUUCAAUAGGCUCAAUGGACGACUUAACUGAUUAGUUGUUACAUGUGUUACAAAUCAUGAACACCAUAAUUAAUUAACGAUUUAAUUUUCCCAUUAGUACAAAAUAUUAGUCGUAGCGUAUGGAUUUGUUAUUGAAAUUGGAAGGGCAACUGGAAAUAAAUAAAAAUAAAUAGGAAAGAUAAUGACAAAAACGUGGACCCUACUAAGGAACAAAAUUUCAAUUCAAAAUCCGUGCCUGCAUGUUACGCUCGUACACAAAUUCAAUGAUCGAGAUGCUAAUAUGGUUCGUGAUUUGCACCUCCCUAUGUGUAUGCGCAAGAAAAUAGAAUUUAAGUUACACAAGAUUACACUGCAAUAAAAUGUGGCCAUAUUUAUAUGAGUUGAGAUCUACCAUUCACCAUUGGCUCUCCAAUUUAUUGUCCAACCAAUAAUUCAUCAACACGUGACUUUAAAUUAACAUAUCCAAAUUCUCUUAGUAUCACUCGUGCUUAAAUGUAGGUGUAAAAUGAUAUGUUAAUGAAUCAUGGAUGGACAGCAAUUUAGACAAUCAAUUUUAGACAAUAGAUCUCGACUCUAUUUAUAUGCCUCAAAGCUCAAUGAUACAAUUUGCCUCCAUAUUUUAUAUUAGGCCCCUGUUUGAGCAUAUUGUUAACAAAAAAAUGAGUUUUGUGAUAGUGCAUUUUUAGAGAUUGUGCAGUUAAAAUGUAAAAAAAAUUUGAACUUGCGUGUUUUAUUAAAAUAAUGUUUGAUUGAAGAUGAGUUUGAGAAAAAAUAUAUAUUUUGAGAUAAUGGGGCUCAAACGGGGGGCUAGAGUAUAAGAAAGGAUACUCCACCCUAAUAAGUGAAAAAAAUAAAAAUAAAAAUAUUUUUCAAAACCCUAAUCAAACUUGUUUAGCUACAUGCUUUUUUAUACUACGCUUCAUAACAUAACGUGUGACAUGUGUUAACAAACUGUUACACACAGUUCGUUACAUGUUUUAACCACCACCGCGACCUACCCCAUCUUCACCAUCAACUUGUAAUAAUUUGUGUUAUACUUGUACGACAUAAUCUUAUGUUGAUGCCACUGCACCUAUUUGUAACAAAUCGAGCUACGUCUGACACUAACACAAUCAUCACCACCACACCAAUGCAACCAUCACUAUCAGAUUUAUGCCACCACCAUUAUGAUCAUCCACCCACCAAGAAACAUACCCUGAGACAGACAAAACAAGAACCCAUCAAGAACAAACGCUAUCACAUUCCCAAAACAAAAGCUAAACCAAAAUCUAUUGUCCUCUAACUCUUCGUCUCUCAUCUCUCACCACCACCACCACCACCACCAAGCCGACGGUUUAAAAAGAAAGAAAAGAAAAAAUGAGUGUUUGAAUUUAACCAGAUCUAUCACCAUCACUCCGGUGUUGAAUAAAUCAAAGUUUUAUGUCGAAAAACUCGAUGCCAAUGGAAUCCGUUGCCUGACCGUUGUCAUUAAAAGGCAUCAGCUGGGUCUCACCAAAUUUCCUCUCUCUGUGACUUCUGAUGUUUGUGUGCUUGUGUUUGUAUGCUUACGGCGUUUUUCCUUAAAAAAUAUCAGUAUUUGUGAAAGUGAAAGGAACAGACCUGGAAAAUAAGAGCCCGGAUAAUGUUGCGAAGGCUCAAGGUUCUGUCCAAUCAAUAGGCCUAGCACAUAGGCCCAUAACCCGAACCAAUUAAUGUGCCAGACAUCCUAAAUGAGUUUCGAUGAUUACUCAUCUUAAGCAUUAGAUUGAGAACGAAAGCAAUCCCGUUUUCUUUGUCUACUUUUGAUGAACGCCAUGAAAGAAGAUUUCUAUCCAUAACAUAAUUAUAAGUGAAAAACCUAGUGAACAAGUAUUAUGAUAAUUUAUAGCAUGUCUUCUUGAAGAUUUCAUCAGCCAAAAUUCAAAAGUUUAGACAAGUUAUUCAAGUCGAAUUUACCUUUUCCAUUGUCUGGCUUGUGGAUGAACUGGCUAAAUUGACUAUAAAAGCAGAGGCAAUCCAAUGAUGAAAGCUGCAAAAGAAAAUUAAUUGACAGAAGAUUAGAGAGCACAAGCUGCUCAUUCACAAAACAACCAUGGAUAUGUUCAGUUGUGCUCUCUAUCUUCUGUCAACAACUUAAUUUCAACUCUCUCCUCCUACCUGCAAACAAUCAACAAGCAUGUGUGUGUGGUAAUUUCGCUCGGUGACACUGAAGGGAAGCAUGCACGAGGCCCGUAUAUGAUCAACAUCUAUCCCGACUGCUCAAACAAGAAUUCUUGAACAAAGGAUCACCCGUUCAAAUAAUCACGACCCAGAGAUAAGCUUCUUAAAUGAAAUGAAAUUGUUUAUAAUAAGAAAAAUUGGUCCAUAGGGGGUGUUUAAUAAAUAUGAAAACAACGGCAAUUAAAGAAGGUUCAAGACAAGUUGUUGAAGGCUAAGUAUGAGGUCCCAUUGACUUGGAGAGAUGGAAAUAUUUUAGGGUAUUCUACAAUACUAAGUGAUUAUGUAACAAUUUGAGAUAUUUUUAUGCUUUCAUUUUCUUGGUCGGUUACUUGUGAAGUUUACAUUUAUAUGUGUCCGUUUUGGAUUCGAG
rnacentral:lncRNA from 1 species